rnacentral:lncRNA from 1 species
GUUCAGGGUAUCUCUUGGGGAAAGUGAAUUAUCUUAAUAAUGCUUUGUGAAUCACUAUUAAUCAUGCACACUGUAGGGAGUAACACAAAGGGCAUCUUAAGGAAGGAAGAGACGAUCCAGGGGGUGAAGGAGGAAGUGGUACAAGAUCUCGAAUUGCUCCAAGAAAGAAUGAAAAAGGAAAUGUUAAAAAUAAGUCAAUGCUAAUUAUUAAGACAAAGACCAUAAUGUUAAGUUAUGCACUUAGCUUUAUUUGAAAGUGUAACAAUAGAUUAAUAGACCAUUAAUAUUUACACUUCACUACAGUGCAGUAAAAAGAAAAGCACUGAGCACUUCAAUUACAUGGUUAACUCAGUGGGUACAUCUAUUCUAGUGAUUGCUCUGGCUGUAAAAAUGGGGGAUUAAUUUCUAUGCUUCUCUGUGGUCCCAGGUCCAUGGAUGCCGUAUUAGGUUUACAUGGCAAGGUUUUGGUAGCAGGGAUGCUGCUGGAGUGGCCUCUAUGAGCACAGCCCAGCAGCUGCCCCAUGUCAGAUCACAGCCAUCUCCAGGUGGGUCCAAAUAGACCCUCCACUUGCCAGAGCUGAGCCAACAAGUGAUGUCUGCACCUUUCUGCGAGCAUAUUUAAGAAAAGGAAAAACAAACAAACAAACAACAACAACAAAACCUGCUGCACAACAGAAGCUGGGAGAGCAAGGAGUGAGAAGCAACCCUGCAGCCCCCAAGGGUGAGUGAAGAAGGAGGGCAGGAGGUGCUCCAGGCAUGCAGCAAAAGUUCCCGUGUGGCCUGUGGAGAGGCCCCUGGUGGAGCAGGCUGUCCCCCUGCAGCCCAUGGGUCCCACAUGGAGCAGAUCUCCAUGCUGCAGCCCGUGGAGGAGCCCCCGGUGGAGCAAAACAUCGGUCUUGCUUGUUACCCACCAACUGUUAGUUUCUUUGAGGAGAAUGCUCUCUGUGCAAGAAAUGUCAUAACUUGCUGAAAUGAACUGCAGUGUCACAACUGUCAAUAAAAAAAAUUAAAUUUUGGCA